CUCCAUCUUGGGCUGUGGAGUCCUGUCUCUGUGGAGGAGGCUGUGCGGCGUGGCCCGGUCUGUGUAGGGCCUGAACCCCGGGAUCCACCAGCUACCUCGGAAGCCACGAGAUGUGUCUUCGCGGAAUACAGCCUGAGGCAUAGGCUGGAGUAUAUCAGGAACAGCUGGUUGUCUUGGAGCUGAGAAGAAUCUCCUGUGUUCCCCAGCUGCUUUCCAUCCCUUGGAGAUAAAUUGGUGGUCAGGACCUGAUGACAUUCAGGGACGUGGCCAUUGAUUUCACUCCAGAGGAGUGGGAAUGUCUGGAUUCUGCUCAGCAAAAGUUAUAUAGGGAUGUGAUGGUAGAGAACUACAGAAAUCUGGUCUCUGUAGCCAUGACUUUUUAUUAUACCCAAGAUGUUUCAUCAAAGCAGAGCAUAAAAUGCUCAUUCCUGAAAGUGCUAAGGAGAAGACAUGGAAGUUGUGCUCCUAACAGUUUACACUUAAGGGAAGAAUGGGAACGUGUGGGUGAGAGUGAAGAAAACCUUGAUGAAGGCAAUAAACGUGGGAAAGUCUUUCGUCAGUACCCAAAUGGUAUUUGUUGGAGUCCCCACCAUCAAAGCAAGGCUCAUAGAUGUAAUGAGUGUGGCCAGACGUUCAGUCAAAGUUCAAACCUUACUCGACACCAGAGAAUUCAUAGUGGAGAGAAACCCUACGAAUGUAAAGAAUGCAGCAAGAUGUUAAGCAGUUAUUCCUACCUUAUUCUUCACCAGAGAAUUCAUACUGGAGAGGGACUCCGUGAGUGCAAAGAGUGUGGCAAAGCCUUUAUUGACUAUUCAACUUUUACUUACCACCAGAGAAUUCAUAGUGGAGAGAAACCCUUUACAUGCCGAGUGUGUGGCAAAGCCUUUAACAACAAUUCGAACCUCAGACAACACCACAGAAUCCAUACUGGAGAGAAGCCUUACAAAUGUAAUGAUUGUAGCCAAGCUUUCGAUCAGAGUGCACACCUUAUUCGACACCAGAAAGUUUAUGUUGGAGAAUGUGGCAAAUUCUUUAGCACGAGUUCCAAACUUAGACAAUAUCACAUAAUUUGUACUGAAGGGAAGCCAUACAAAUGUAAAGAGUGUGGCAAAACCUUUGUUAAUAUUUCAAAUCUUACUCAACACCAAAAUAUUCAUACCAGACAGAAACCCUGCGAGUGUAAACAGUGCGGCAAAGCUUUCCACAGUAACUUAAGCCUGAAACAACAUCACAUAAUUCACACUGGAGAGAAGCCCUACAAAUGCAAAGACUGUGACAGAGCCUUUACUCAGAUAUCAAAACUUGCUGAGCACUGCCGAGUUCAUACUGGAGAGAAGCCCUACAAAUGCAAAGAGUGUGGCAAAGCCUUUCACAAGUGGUCAGCACUCAUGCACCACCACAGAACUCACACUGGAGAGAAGCCCUAUGAAUGCACAGAGUGCGGCAGAGCCUUUACCAAAAGUUCAGACCUCAGCAAGCAUCACAGGGUUCAUAGCGGAGAGAAGCCCUACACGUGUAAGGAGUGCGGCAAAGCCUUUACCGCAAAUUCAAGCCUUAGACAGCAUCACAGGAUUCAUAGUGGAGAGAAGCCCUACGCGUGUGAAGACUGUGGCAAAGCCUUUACUACAAAGUCACACCUUACAAAGCAUCACAGGGUUCAUACUGGAGAGAAGCCCUACACGUGUGAAGACUGUGGCAAAGCCUUUACUGCAAAUUCAAGCCUUAAAAAGCAUCACAGGGUUCAUACUGGAGAGAAGCCCUACACGUGUGAAGACUGUGGCAAAGCCUUUACCGCAAAGUCAAGCCUUACAAAGCAUCACAGGGCUCAUACUGGAGAGAGGCCCUACACAUGUGAAGACUGUGGCAAAGCCUUUACUACAAAGUCAGACCUUAGAAAGCAUCACAGGGUUCAUACUGGAGAGAAGCCCUACAAGUGUGAAGACUGUGGCAAAGCCUUUACCGCAAAAUCAAGCCUUAGAAAGCAUCACAGGGCUCAUCGUGGAGAGAAGCCCUACACAUGUGAAGACUGUGGCAAAGCCUUUACCGCAAAGUCAAACCUUAGAAAGCAUCACAGGGUUCAUACUGGAGAGAAGCCCUACACGUGUGAAGACUGUGGCAAAGCCUUUACCGCAAAGGCAAGCCUUAUAAAGCAUCACAGGGUUCAUACUGGGCUGCAUAGCUCUUUCCAGCAUCCUGACAGCCAGCCAACAGGGAGGAGGCUUCUAGCUCAGCUCCAGCUUGAUUUCUCAGUGACCUGCAGUCCAAGGAUGUGGCACCUUCAACAAUAGGGUCUGUCCAUCUAACUCUGGUGGGCAUUGUCAAGGCUCUUCUGAGUUUUACUUACAUAUGGGGAGUAGACAGACAAUUUGAUUCAUCACUCCUACUGUGAUUGUCCCUUCUUCAAUAGCAUGUACAGGUUCUAACACCAUGGUCACCUCUUAUGUAGAGUGCGGCAGGAACCUGUCUGUGGUGGUGGUGCUGAGAGCUCAAAGCUAUUGAUGGGUCAGGACGCUAGGUCUGUGAUCCCCAAAAUGCCAUCCGACCAGCAGCAACAGCAUCUCCAGAAAACUUGGGAAUGCAAACGACCAGAUGAAUGCAGAAUCCUAUGGGUAGACCCAGAUAAAAAUCAGCACUGUCCUAGGCCUUGCUGAGUUCGGACAUCUGCAUUUCAGGCACUGGGUGCCCUCCCUGCAGACUAUAGAGAUGCGGUUUCAUAGUUUGACCACAUGGUGGAAGCAUAAGCCUGAUGGUCUGACAUUUGAAAGGCCAGUUGUAUUCACAUUGCCAAAGGACGGGUACUGUGCUCAGAAAUUGGUAGACUCCUGAAACUUCAAGAGAAGUUGAAAGUCAAGGUCAAAGUUUUUGUAAACAAUAACUUCAAAUACAUCCUGAAGGCAUCCCAGGAAAGUGAGGUUAGUCCAAAUAGUUUAUCCAGGAGAAGAGAUGGUCUCUACCAACCACAAGAUUAAUAAUGACUUUCUUCCAGUGGAAAAAGGCAAGUCAUCACAGGGAGAAAGUACCCAGAAGGCAAGUCCAAGGGACCCUGGGAAGAACUUCACCUCCAGGUACAUAAAUAAUCCUGCCACUUAAUCAACUUAGAAACAAAGAAUCUCAGACUUAUAUUCACCUUAUAUAUCCCUCUCCAAAUCUCUAUUUAUCCUAUUUUUAUGAAUGCCUGGAAAUCACCAAAGUAUAUGAUUGGUAAGAGCUAAAAGAAAAUACGCUGCCAUCACCUCAUCCCCAUAGUUACCCCCACCCAUUGAAAUGCCCUGCCUUGAAGAGCAAACAGCCCUUUCUUAUGUGAUGAGCCAGGAGGGUGGCCUAGAAUGCCUGCCUCCUGCUACACUCUGCUCCCUGCCUUCACUGUUCUACCCUCACACUGCCCGCCUGGCUCUCCAGCUCCUUCCCAACAUCUAGGACCCUCCCUCUGGGAGCUUUGUUUUAAUUCCCAGGUUACAAGUUCACAAAGAGCGCUCAUCUCUCUUGAGCUAUGCCUCUAAUCUGUCUUUAAAUGUAACUAAUGAUUUCCUAUCUAACUUACCUCAC